GACGAACGCUGGCGGCGUGCUUAACACAUGCAAGUCGAACGGAAAGGCCCUGCUUUUGUGGGGUGCUCGAGUGGCGAACGGGUGAGUAACACGUGAGUAACCUGCCCUUGACUUUGGGAUAACUUCAGGAAACUGGGGCUAAUACCGGAUAGGAGCUCCUGCUGCAUGGUGGGGGUUGGAAAGUUUCGGCGGUUGGGGAUGGACUCGCGGCUUAUCAGCUUGUUGGUGGGGUAGUGGCUUACCAAGGCUUUGACGGGUAGCCGGCCUGAGAGGGUGACCGGCCAGAGGGGGACGGAGGUGAGGAAGAGGCGCCGACGGGAGGCAGGAGGGGGGAGUAGGGCACAACGGGCGGGGGGUUGAUGCCGGAACGCGGCGGGGGGGAGGAGGGGGGUCGGGUUGGAAAAAGAGGACGCCUGUGAAGAAGCGUGAGGGAAGGGAAUGGGUAAAGAAGAACCGGCGAAUCACGUG
rnacentral:rRNA from 1 species